rnacentral:rRNA from 1 species
AUACGGAGGGGGUUAGCGUUGUUCGGAAUUACUGGGCGUAAAGCGCACGUAGGCGGACUGGAAAGUUGGGGGUGAAAUCCCGGGGCUCAACCCCGGAACUGCCUCCAAAACUUCCAAUCUAGAGAUCGAGAGAGGUGAGUGGAAUUCCAAGUGUAGAGGUGAAAUUCGUAGAUAUUUGGAGGAACACCAGUGGCGAAGGCGGCUCACUGGCUCGAUACUGACGCUGAGGUGCGAAAGUGGGGGGAGCAAACAGGAUUAGAAACCCCAGUAGUCC